GUUUGGGCCCAGGCGGACGUUGACUGGUCAGUGUGCGGGUCCUUUGAAUGCUCCUGAGCGCCGGGCUCUCCCCACGCCUGCGCAGUGGGACGGGCGAGUUUGGCGCGGCUUGUGUGUGAGGCGCGGGUAGGUGGCGGCGUGGCCCGGAUUCCCUCAGGUGUUCCGAGGCAGCAUGGGCGGCGAUGCUCAGGUGGUCUGGGCGUUUCUCGGUGCUUUCCCCCGCGCCGCGUGGUCCUGCUGAAGAACGCCGGAAGGCCUAGGGUUCCCUCGGGCUGAUGAGCGGGCCUCGGCCUGUUCUCCGCGGAGUCGCGAACGGCUUCUUGGCUAUGAUGCGAGUCCCCGCUUUCCUGAGAGCUCCUAAUAAAAGCAGUUGUGCGUGUGUGUGUGUACGAGCAGUGCACAAGCGAUCCAUGUAAUGUCGGUGACCUCUCGCGACAACCUCAGACAUCCUUAGCUUCCCAUCAUGGCUCAGUGUCCCAGGAAAAUACAAUUCCUGUGGAUGAUCUCUGUUGAUAUCAGCCACCUGCUAUGCCUGGCAAGACACCUGUUGUCGUACCAAAAAGCUACCUCCUGGGGACUUAAAGAGCUUUUAUGUUUAUAUUUUGAGACAGCAUCUGUAAUGGCUAUUCCUGGUUGUCAACUUGACUAUAUCUGGAAUAAAAUACAAUCCAGAAUUGAAAGACUCACCUGUGAUCCUGAUCUUGAGGCUGGGAGAUAGAAGUUUCUGGCCUGGAUCUUGGCAUGAAGAUCUUGAGGCAUAGUGGCUAUGAAUCCCAGGAGACUAAGGCAAGGAGAUCUCGGAGUUCAAGGUCAUCUGGGACAAAGCAAAUCCCACCAGAUCCAGAUGUGGUGGUACACAUCUUUAAUCUGGGCCACACUUUCUGCUGGAGACCUACAUAAGGACAUUGGAAGAUGGAAGAUUCACUCUUCUUUGCCUGCUUGCCUUGUGGAACUGAGCAACUACUAGAUCUUUGGGCUUCCACUCACAGCUGACCAUUGUUGGGGAGUUGGACUACAGACUGUAAGUCAUCAUAACAAAUUCUCUUACUGUAUAGAGACUACUCAUAAGUUCUGUGACUCUAGAGAACCCUGACUAAUACAGCAUCUCACUUGAUAGCCCUGAACCUGAGAUGCUCCUGCCUCAGCCUCUAGAAUGCUGAUAUUACAGGCACUGCUACCACACUGGUCUCCAACACUGUCUUUGUUGCCGGCCUAAAGGGCAUUCUGUAGACCCCUCCUCACCAUUAUGCAUUUCCACAUUUUGUC
ensembl:processed_transcript C130036L24Rik RIKEN cDNA C130036L24 gene